rnacentral:rRNA from 1 species
CCCUUAGAUGUCCUGGGCCGCACGCGCGUUACACUGAUGCAUUCAACGAGCUUAUAACCUUGGCCGAGAGGCCUGGGCAAUCUUGUUAACGCGCAUCGUGAUAGGGAUAGAUUAUUGAAAUUAUUAAUCUUGAACGAGGAAUUCCUAGUAAACGCAGAUCAUCAAUCUGCAUUGAUUACGUCCCUGCCCUUUGUACACACCGCCCGUCGCACCUACCGAUUGGAUGGUCCGGUGAAGCCUCGGGAUUGUGGUUCUUGCCGCUUUAUUGUGGCGUGACCGCGAGAACUUGUCUAAACCUUAUCAUCUAGAGGAAGGUGAAGUCGUANCA